rnacentral:rRNA from 1 species
UAUAGUUUAUUUGAUAAUCGAAACCUACAUGGAUACCCGUGGUAAUUCUAGAGCUAAUACAUGCUGGUGUGCCCGACUUUUGCGGAAGGGCGGUAUUUAUUAGAUAACAAGCCAAUAUUCCUCUGGUCUAUUGUGGUGACUCAUAAUAACUGAUCGAAUCGCAAGGCCUAUGGCCGCGAUAAGUCAUUCAAGUUUCUGCCCCAUCAGCUUUCGAUGGUAGUGUAUUGGACUACCAUGGCGUUUACGGGUAACGGAGGAUUAGGGUUCGAUUCCGGAGAGGGAGCCUGAGAAACGGCUACCACA